rnacentral:snoRNA from 1 species
CCAUUAGAUGAUGAGGAACUAAUUGUGCACAUUGUCAAUGGUUUAGAUCCAAAAUACAAUCCUGUAGUUUCCGGCUCUUGUAACUAGGGUAGAACCCAUUACUCUCCCUGAAUUUUACUCACAACUUUUGAGCUUUGAAA